rnacentral:rRNA from 1 species
UACGAAGGGUGCAAGCGUUACUCGGAAUUACUGGGCGUAAAGCGUGCGUAGGUGGUUCGUUAAGUCUGAUGUGAAAGCCCCGGGCUCAACCUGGGAACUGCAUUGGAUACUGGCGAUCUGGAGUGCGGUAGAGGGUGGCGGAAUUCCCGGUGUAGCAGUGAAAUGCGUAGAUAUCGGGAGGAACAUCCGUGGCGAAGGCGGCCACCUGGACCAGCACUGACACUGAGGAGCGAAAGCGUGGGGAGCGAACAGG